CGGUGUUGGGGGAGAGACGGCCCGGAUUCUGGAUGUCUAGGUCUUCAAGCGUUCAGGGAAGAUCCUGGCCGUUGGGCUCAACGUGACCUCAAAAGUGGAAGGAAAAGUCAUCCAGGGAGUUCAGCCUCUAGCUCAGGCCGAAAAGAGCCUGAAACCCAUCGUGGUCCUCACUGGAUUCGGCUCCAGGAGGUGCUACACGGAGAUGGCCUGUAGGUGGCGGUAGAGACCUUUAUCUGGUGACUGAAAUUUACUUUUGGCCAUCCUAGAUGAUUUGUUGGGGAACCACGCUGGGAAAGAAAGAAAAAGACUAAGAGGAGGAAGAAGCAGGUUUGCGCAGGAACAGAGGAGGAACAGAGGAGGAAGCAGCAAGCUCCAGAACAGAGACCGCCCGGCUGGUUAAUGGAACGGCACGUUAAGUGCAAACAUUCAGGCCCUUGGGCCAUGGCCUCACUUGCCGAGGGGCCUGAGCUGCUGGGAAAGGAGCACUGCCUUAGCUCCCGAAGGGGCUCACAGCCAGCAGCAGGCCCUCCGCGAGGGGGAACUUGGGCAGCAGCCAAAGCAAGUGUCUCUUUGCUGUCUUCUCCUCCGUCAGUAUACGUAUUCCUUCCUCCUAAAAAUAAAAUCUUUGGGGCGCCUGGCUGGCUCAGUUGGUAGAA